rnacentral:lncRNA from 13 species
CUUUCCUGACAGUGUACGAUGGAUCCAGCCUCCUGUUUGCCACUUCGGGACAGGCUGCAAGGGGAAAUUCCAGGGAACUGAAGAAAUAAACCCCAGAGGCCCCUCCAGGUGAUGUUGGACAAGAAGAAAAUUAUGGAUCUAUCCAAGUUUUCAUCCAUUGGCCCUACUGGAUAAAUUUUAAGGUGAAAAAUGUGAGACACAAAAGAAUUUUCCUUUUGACGACAAGAGUUAUACCUGUUUGACCAUUAAAU